rnacentral:rRNA from 2 species
GCUUGCUCCCUGAGAUUAGCGGCGGACGGGUGAGUAACACGUGGGCAACCUGCCUAUAAGACUGGGAUAACUUCGGGAAACCGGAGCUAAUACCGGAUACGUUCUUUUCUCGCAUGAGAGAAGAUGGAAAGACGGUUUACGCUGUCACUUAUAGAUGGGCCCGCGGCGCAUUAGCUAGUUGGUGAGGUAAUGGCUCACCAAGGCGACGAUGCGUAGCCGACCUGAGAGGGUGAUCGGCCACACUGGGACUGAGACACGGCCCAGACUCCUACGGGAGGCAGCAGUAGGGAAUCUUCCGCAAUGGACGAAAGUCUGACGGAGCAACGCCGCGUGAACGAAGAAGGCCUUCGGGUCGUAAAGUUCUGUUGUUAGGGAAGAACAAGUACCAGAGUAACUGCUGGUACCUUGACGGUACCUAACCAGAAAGCCACGGCUAACUACGUGCCAGCAGCCGCGGUAAUACGUAGGUGGCAAGCGUUGUCCGGAAUUAUUGGGCGUAAAGCGCGCGCAGGUGGUUCCUUAAGUCUGAUGUGAAAGCCCACGGCUCAACCGUGGAGGGUCAUUGGAAACUGGGGAACUU